CCCUAGUAACGGCGAGUGAAGCGGCAACAGCUCAAAUUUGAAAUCUGGCUUCGGCCCGAGUUGUAAUUUGCAGAGGAUGUUUCUGGCGCGGUGCCUUCCGAGUUCCCUGGAACGGGACGCCACAGAGGGUGAGAGCCCCGUAUGGUUGGACACCAAGCCUGUGUGAAACUCCUUCGACGAGUCGAGUAGUUUGGGAAUGCUGCUCAAAAUGGGAGGUAAAUCUCUUCUAAAGCUAAAUACCGGCCAGAGACCGAUAGCGCACAAGUAGAGUGAUCGAAAGAUGAAAAGCACCUUGAAAAGGGGGUUAAACAGUACGUGAAAUUGUUGAAAGGGAAGCGCUUGUGACCAGACUUGUGCCGGGCGGCUCAUCCGGGGUUCUCCCCGGUGCACUCCGCCCGGCUCAGGCCAGCAUCGGUUUUCGUUGGGGGAUAAGAACGGCAGGAACGUGGCCCUCCUUCGGGUGGGUGUUAUAGCCUGCCGUACGAUACCCUGACGGGGACCGAGGUUCGCGCUCCGCAAGGAUGCUGGCGUAAUGGUCAUCAGCGACCCGUCUUGAAACACGGACCAAGGAGUCGUCCAUUAGAGCGAGCGUUUGGGUGUCAAACCCGCACGCGUAAUGAAAGUGAAAUUAGGUGAGAGCUUCGGCGCAUCAUCGACCGAUCCUGAUGUUCUCGGAUGGAUUUGAGUAAGAGUUUUAACGGACGGACCCGAAAGACAGUGAACUAUGCUUGUAUAGGGUGAAGCCAGAGGAAACUCUGGUGGAGGCUCGCAGCGGUUCUGACGUGCAAAUCGAUCGUCAAAUAUGAGCAUGGGGGCGAAAGACUAAUCGAACUGUCUAGUAGCUGGUUACCGCCGAAGUUUCCCUCAGGAUAGCAGUGUUGACCUUCAGUUUUAUGAGGUAAAGCGAAUGAUUAGGGACUCGGGGGCGCUUUUUAGCCUUCAUCCAUUCUCAAACUUUAAAUAUGUAAGAAGCCCUUGUUACUUAGUUGAACGUGGGCAUUCGAAUGUAUCAACACUAGUGGGCCAUUUUUGGUAAGCAGAACUGGCGAUGCGGGAUGAACCGAACGCGGGGUUAAGGCGCCAGAGUGUACGCUCAUCAGACACCACAAAAGGCGUUAGUACAUCUUGACAGCAGGACGGUGGCCAUGGAAGUCGGAAUCCGCUAAGGACUGUGUAACAACUCACCUGCCGAAUGUACUAGCCCUGAAAAUGGAUGGCGCUCAAGCGUACCGCCCAUACCCCGCCCUCAGGGUAGAAACGAUGCCCUGAGGAGUAGGCGGCCGUGGAGGUCAGUGACGAAGCCUA
rnacentral:rRNA from 1 species